rnacentral:rRNA from 1 species
UACGUAGGGGGCAAGCGUUGUCCGGAAUCAUUGGGCGUAAAGCGCGUGUAGGCGGCCCGGUAAGUCCGCUGUGAAAGUCCAGGGCUCAACCCUGGGAUGCCGGUGGAUACUGUCGGGCUAGAGUCCGGAAGAGGAGUGUGGAAUUCCUGGUGUAGCGGUGAAAUGCGCAGAUAUCAGGAGGAACACCAAUGGCGAAGGCAGCACUCUGGGACGUGACUGACGCUGAGACGCGAAAGCGUGGGGAGCAAACAGG